GGUAUUUUGGUAUUUUACCGUUUUUUACUGUGGCAUUUGAUCCUUUUUUAGUAUUUGCAUGCUUACUGUUUUUAGCUUCAAAUAUUGUUCUUUUAAUGAUGGAAACCGCCUUGAGGAGAAAGGCGGAGUAAAAAAAAUAUUUAAAAUAAAAUAGAUAAAUCGUGAGGGAAAGCCUAUCAUUUUUUUUCUUUCGCCACCUAGUGGUGGAAAGGAGAAGUUCCCUGGGUGGGGAAAAGCUCCCACGGAGCAUGCUCAGAUCGGUUCUUGUCGCUCAGGUGGGGGGGAGAGAAGAUGGCCGCCGGUUUGGGCAAACAGAAACCCUGCAAGCCACGCAGGUAUUCCCGACAGCGGUGAAGGUUGGUGGCGGCGCAUCUCAUUGCCAAUCAGUGAUGAACUGGGCAUGGGCAGGAUUCUGGGCAGGACUUAUGUAGACUUCAAAGCCAGCUACUCCAAAAAGGAAAGAGGUGGUAUCCUGUGUAUCUCUUGCUGGGGAGUGCGAGACAGAGAGCGGGCUUUCCGUCACAUCCUGCAUGUGAGUUUCCCGGGGGCACUUGCGUUGCGACUCUUCCAGCUCCAGCUGGCUGUUACCUCGAAAGGUUUUCUUCUUG
rnacentral:lncRNA from 1 species